UCAGUACUCCCUCCGUCCGGAAUUACUUGUCAUCAAAAUGGAUGAAAAUGGAUGUAUCUAGAACUAAAAUACAUCUAGAUACAUCCAUUUCAAUGACAAGUAUUUCCGGAUGGAGGGAGUACAUA
rnacentral:pre_miRNA from 1 species